UGGGGAAUAUUGCACAAUGGGCGCAAGCCUGAUGCAGCCAUGCCGCGUGUAUGAAGAAGGCCUUCGGGUUGUAAAGUACUUUCAGCGAGGAGGAAGGCGUUGUGGUUAAUAACCGCAGCGAUUGACGUUACUCGCAGAAGAAGCACCGGCUAACUCCGUGCCAGCAGCCGCGGUAAUACGGAGGGUGCAAGCGUUAAUCGGAAUUACUGGGUGUAAAGCGCACGCAGGCGGGCUGUCAAGUCGGAUGUGAAAUCCCCGGGCUCAACCUGGGAACUGCAUCCGAAACUGGCAGGCUAGAGUCUUGUAGAGGGGGGUAGAAUUCCAGGUGUAGCGGUGAAAUGCGUAGAGAUCUGGAGGAAUACCGGUGGCGAAGGCGGCCCCCUGGACAAAGACUGACGCUCAGGUGCGAAAGCGUGGGGAGCAAACA
rnacentral:rRNA from 1 species